GAAAAUAGCCUUUUAAUGGUCCACACGGGUAGACACAUAGGCAUGUGUCCAGACCGUAUGUGGCACACGGUCUGCCCCACGGGCAUGUUGAAUGGACGUGUGUCCCCUGCACCUAAAUUUUGCAAGUCAGUAUGCCCAGUAGUAAACAAAGGGGCUAAAACAGGGGCGUGUGUCUUGGCCUAUGAGAGACAUGGCCUACCCACAUGAGCGUGUACCCUGGCCG
rnacentral:lncRNA from 1 species